AUUGAACGCUGGCGGCAGGCCUAACACAUGCAAGUCGAGCGGGAACUUCGGUUCUAGCGGCGGACGGGUGAGUAAUGCGUAGGCAGCUACCCGACAGAGGGGGAUACCAGUUGGAAACGACUGUUAAUACCGCAUUAUGUCUACGGACCAAAGUGUGGGACAUUCGGGUCACAUGACGUAGGAUGGGCUUACGUGGGAUUAGCUAGUUGGUGAGGUAAUGGCUCACCAAGGCGACGAUCCCUAGCUGGUUUGAGAGGAUGAUCAGCCACACUGGAACUGAGACACGGUCCAGACUCCUACGGGAGGCAGCAGUGGGGAAUAUUGGACAAUGGGCGAAAGCCUGAUCCAGCCAUGCCGCGUGUGUGAAGAAGGCCUUCGGGUUGUAAAGCACUUUCAGUAGGGAGGAAGAGUUGAGUGUUAAUAGUACUCAGCUUUGACGUUACCUACAGAAGAAGCACCGGCUAACUCUGUGCCAGCCGCCGCAGUAA
rnacentral:rRNA from 1 species